GAGGACCGAACCGACUAAUGUUGAAAAAUUAGCGGAUGACCUGUGGCUGGGGGUGAAAGGCCAAUCAAACCGGGAGAUAGCUGGUUCUCCCCGAAAGCUAUUUAGGUAGCGCCUCGUGAACUCAUCUCCGGGGGUAGAGCACUGUUUCGGCUAGGGGGCCAUCCCGGCUUACCAACCCGAUGCAAACUGCGAAUACCGGAGAAUGUUAUCACGGGAGACACACGGCGGGUGCUAACGUCCGUCGUGAAGAGGGAAACAACCCAGACCGCCAGCUAAGGUCCCAAAGUCAUGGUUAAGUGGGAAACGAUGUGGGAAGGCCCAGACAGCCAGGAUGUUGGCUUAGAAGCAGCCAUCAUUUAAAGAAAGCGUAAUAGCUCACUGGUCGAGUCGGCCUGCGCGGAAGAUGUAACGGGGCUAAACCAUGCAC
rnacentral:rRNA from 1 species